rnacentral:rRNA from 1 species
AGAGUUUGAUCAUGGCUCAGAUUGAACGCUGGCGGCAUGCCUUACACAUGCAAGUCGAACGGUAACGCGGGGCAACCUGGCGACGAGUGGCGAACGGGUGAGUAAUGCAUCGGAACGUGCCCAGUAGUGGGGGAUAGCCCGGCGAAAGCCGGAUUAAUACCGCAUACGACCUACGGGUGAAAGCGGGGGACCGUAAGGCCUCGCGCUAUUGGAGCGGCCGAUGUCAGAUUAGGUAGUUGGUGGGGUAAAGGCCUACCAAGCCUACGAUCUGUAGCUGGUCUGAGAGGACGACCAGCCACACUGGGACUGAGACACGGCCCAGACUCCUACGGGAGGCAGCAGUGGGGAAUUUUGGACAAUGGGCGCAAGCCUGAUCCAGCCAUGCCGCGUGCGGGAAGAAGGCCUUCGGGUUGUAAACCGCUUUUGUCAGGGAAGAAAUCCUUUGGGUUAAUACCCCGGGGGGAUGACGGUACCUGAAGAAUAAGCACCGGCUAACUACGUGCCAGCAGCCGCGGUAAUACGUAGGGUGCAAGCGUUAAUCGGAAUUACUGGGCGUAAAGCGUGCGCAGGCGGUUUUGUAAGACAGAGGUGAAAUCCCCGGGCUCGACCUGGGAACUGCCUUUGUGACUGCAAGGCUUGAGUGCGGCAGAGGGGGAUGGAAUUCCGCGUGUAGCAGUGAAAUGCGUAGAUAUGCGGAGGAACACCGAUGGCGAAGGCAAUCCCCUGGGCCUGCACUGACGCUCAUGCACGAAAGCGUGGGGAGCAAACAGGAUUAGAUACCCCGGUAGUCC